UUUUUUUCAAGCCUCUGUUUGCCCACCAAACUCUCAGACCUCAGAAAAACAAGGUUGUUUCUGUGUAAACUGAGAAACUCUUCAUCAAAACCAAUGAUAUUCCCGCAAGACAAUCACAUACACAAGUUUUCAGCUUUUGGGUAUGUCUAUUUCUAUCUCUACUUGACAAUCACCAGAAUGGGCUUGACAUAAAGAGAAAAAACAUUUUCUGGGUCUUGGUAGAGUGUUUGUUUGGCAUGAAAGAAAGAAUAUCUUGAUCUUUUGAGGUGAUACUUUUCCUGCGUAUUGCUAAAUUGUUGUCUAUGUGAGUUUACGUUAUGUGGGUAUUGCUUGUUUUGGUCAGAAUUCAUGUUUGUAUAGUUGGGUCUUGGUAGUGUUUGGCAUGAAAGAAGGAAAAUCUUGGUGUUUUGAAGUGAUAAUUUUUGUGGGUAUUACUAAAUUAAGAUAUGGCAAUGGAAAUUGUUGUCUCUGUGGUCUUACUUUUUGUGGGUAUUGCUGUUCUGGUCACAAUUCAUGUUUGUAUUGUUGGGAGGGCAUUUAGGAGGGGAUAUAACAAUGGUACAGUGGUUGUACAGGUAAGUACAAGCAUUAGAAGCCCAAGCAUGUCCCAGGAAGAUAUCAAGAAACUGCCUUGUUUUGAGUACAAAAUGGAAGAAGACAAAGAGAAAGGUAAUAACUCAAGUCCUAUGGAAUGUGCAGUGUGUUUGGAGAGUUACAAAUUGGGUGAUUUGUGUAGAUUGUUGCCUAAUUGCAGCCAUAGCUUUCAUGCUCAAUGCAUAGAUUCAUGGUUGUCAAAGUCAGCGAUUUGUCCAAUCUGUCGAACCGAUGCCAAUUCACCCCAGGUUGGUGAUUCAAGUGAAGUUGGAGUUGAAUUGGUGUAGAAAUGGGGGGUUUUUGGAUUGUGAAGACUUUUGUUGCUAUUUCUUGAAAUGUUUAUAUUCCUUACUGUGUAUUCCAAUUUCAGCGUGCCCUUAUUUGAUCAAAUACCCUUUUGUCUUGUCGUUCGCAACUUUAACGUGCCUUAUCUGAUCCGCACCUUCUGACAGCCUCGAAGGUCAGGCUAAUCGACGUUGAUGACCGUUGUCGGCCGGUUUCCGUGCCGCUCUGAGUCUGCAGCAAUCUGGUUCAGAAUAAGUUGGUUUUAGUCAUGUGUGUGUGCAAAUCCAGGUCACGCACUACCAUCUGUCUGAUCCGUCCAUUCUGCUUCUGGAGCUAUCUGUGAGUAGUAACUCUGUAAAAUUAUGUUUGACUAUAAGUAUUUUCUACAUGAAAUGAUAUGAUAAUCUCUGUUUUCUGAAAUGAUAAUUUCUAUAUAGAUGAAUGAUUGUCUUAUUUAUGAAAUAUAUCAUGGCAUCUAUAGCAUUAUGUCAUGUUAUAUGUUAACUGGUGUUAUAUGUUAACUCGUACCAGAGUUUCAAGUGGAUUCCAUUCAUGGAACUGAUUGUGCAUAAUCAAUUAUAUGAUCUGCAAGUGGGUCUUUAUGACCAUCUCAUGUGAAUAUGGGUCUUUAUGACCAGCUACUUUGCAUAUGAGUCUUUAUGACCAUCUUAUGUGAAUAUGGGUCUUUAUGACCAAUCUGAUCUAUUAAAGCUAAUAGAUGCAUCACGUAUGAUUGUUUACAAAUCUGAAUAUGUAUAUGAAUCUGUUUCUAAUCUGAAUUCUAAUUUAUGAAUCUGUUAUGGACAUCAUUCAUCAAAACUUUUAUUCUGUUGUUAUUCACUAGGCUCCAGCUCACUGUAUUAUUUAUGUAUAAGUGAUUAGGCGCGUAACCAGGCCUAGUUCUUCUGCCUGAACUCUGUUUUUGUUAGUCAACCUAUGUGCCUCUCGUGGAGGCUCCAAAUAUGUUAAGUGGUCAUGGCUAUGUAAUUAAAGUUUAAGUUUUUGUUUCU